AUAUGUUAAUUUUCAUUAGAUGUACUAUAUGCCUAUUUGGAGUUCUCACAUAAAAAUGGAUCUUUUUCUGUGAAUUCUAUAUAUGUAUAAGUUCUAGUGAGUAAUGGUACGAAAAUCUCGCUGGAGAGACAUGGCAAAUGAAAAUACACUUAAAAAACAAAAUCUUCAUGUAAUUCAUAAAAAAGGUUAUUUUAACAAAAGAUAAUGUAGCAAGAAGAAAUUGGAGUGGUAGUAAAGCUUAUUGUUUUUGGAAUAAGUAUGAAACCAUCCAACAUCUUUUCUUGAUUGUCAUUGUCACUACUACAAUAAAGUUAACCGAGAUGGGCAAAAGUAAUUUUUCAAGGCGGGCAAACAAAGCGCCUCGGAUCAAAGGUCACAGUAAAUGGCCUAUUUUUCGAGGCGAUUUGAUGCCCACCUUGGUUAAUAAAAUAAAAAAAUAAAAGCCUGUAACCCAAACCUAGUAUGUAUUUGGGCCUAGAUCCACCUCCGCUUGCAAGGGCCAUGAAGUCGUCGAUCGCUGGCACAUUGCCAUGGUGCUCUGACAAGGCUCGUUCUCACCGGAUCCACCGUUGGUGGGCUCGUUGUCGCUGGAUCCGCCAUCGAUAGAGUCCUCCCCACCAGAUCCGCCACCGGCGGGCUCAUGCUCGUCCGAUCCUCCAUCAACGAACUUCUACUUGAUGGAUCCGCCACCAGAAAGCUCGUCCCCCGUCGGAUCUGUGCUCAUUGGUGGGGAAGGAGGAGAGGGGGAACCACAUCCAGCCAUAGGGAAGAGAGGAAGGAGGGGAAGCCCACCACUGCC
rnacentral:lncRNA from 1 species